AUUGGCUCCAGUGACAGUGACGAAGAAGAGGACAUCGAUGUAUUUUUAGAUGACACUAGUGAUAGUAAUAAUGAUAGUGAUAAUGAUAGUGGUAGUAGUGAUAAGAGUAAUGAAGAGGAGAAUAUGUAGUUACUCCUUUUACUAUUGUCUUCGAAUGUUUAGUUUUUAAUGACUACUCGGACUUGUAAUAUUGCAUUACAUUUUUGGUCUCAUUUUAUUAUUUUAAUGUCUUAGGAUCUAAUUUAUGAAUUUACAAUGUGCGAUUAUGGUACUAACAACUUUUUCAGGUGGUCAUCAUGGGAGGAGGAAAUAAAGGAGAAACGUCCAAGAGGAGAAAGUCUAAGGGGAAAUCUCCAGUUGUACGUGUUGACGAGGAUGAGUCAAUGGAGGAAGAGGAUGCACAUGAUUUGGGGGCCUCUCAUGAAAUCGUCAGAAAUGUACAAGGGUAACAGGAGCAACAACAGCAUCAGGAACAGGAGCUACAGGACCCGCAUCCUAAUGACUUGCUAGAGUUGGACCCUUCCACACUUUGGUUUGAUGAUAGGCCGGUGAAGAAUGUGCUCUCCGACUCGCUAACCGGCUACUAUGUUCAGCCUUGGAGGAAUUAUGGAGAGGUUGAUGAAGAUUCGAGAGAGCACUUUUGGAACUUGUUCAACAAAAAAUUCAAGUGGGCACCUGAGUUAAACAACCAAGUGAAGGACACUUUCGAAGAAAAGUUUGCAAAUCGCCUACGUGACACGUUCUACAACAUCACACACAGGCUGAAUGGUCACAAACCAAGAUGGCUUAAUAAGGAUGUCCACGAAGGCAUGAUGAAAAUUGUUGCCACCGAUCCAAAAUAUCA